AGAAUCUGGCUGCCUUCAGCCAAAUCUUUGACUGAAGCUAUGCAAACCCCCUGGCCUUCCAAGAAGUAUUCAAUCCAGGUUUAAGUCCUUCAGCAUCUGACAUUCUCCUGGCAACUGUAAUUCAAUCAAUGAUGACUCAUCUGAGAUGAGCAAGUUGGUCCAGUCAGACCAAACAAAAGACACUCUAUAAUCAGGGGAGAAGUCUUCUCUAUAUCUUUCUUAUAUGAGCAAAUUUAAUGACCUCCACCAUGUCUAAGAACAAGCAGCUAUUUCUGUAGAGAAAGAUCACCUUUGGAUAACAAUACAUGAUUUUAGGCUCUAAAAGUUAAAACGUGUUUGUAACGUUGAUAUUAUGCAGAGGUCUUGACAGAACUUAGCAGUCUCUGAGGCUACAGAGAAGUGUGAAAAAGAGCAUAGAGAUUUCAGAAGGAGGCAGAUUCAGUCAGACAUACUGAAUCCUGUUUGAUCUCAAUUCAGGCACACUCCAGAUGGAUGUAUUGAACAGCACACUGGAGUUUUUGUCCAGAAGUUUGACUUUAGAAGAUAAGAAAUAACUGAGCGUAUUACAAGCAGGAGUUAGAGGAAGAGACUCAGUACAGAAGAGACAGGAACAAAAGUUCACCUCCAUUAGAUGGGAAAGGAUACAGAUCAAGAGCUCAGGAAAAGUAGGAGAAAGAAGCUCUAUUCCAGAAGCAGUGUGGAGCACAAAGAAUCCCUAAUCCCUGACAUUAAGAAAGAAGAAAAAUAUUCCUAGGACGAUCCUGGAGAGCAAAGGUCAUUAGCAGUCACU
rnacentral:antisense_RNA from 1 species